UUUCUUCCCUUUUACAUUAUUUUAUUAAGCUGUUCGUUCUAUUCUAAUUGGACCAAAACCAUAGCCAAUUAAAGGGCUUUUACAUCAAUCCUAUCGAAGACUUAGCCGACUUUGUAUAGUUAUAAAUAGAAACCCAGGGCUGUAGAGCGGUGCAGUCUGUGUACCGAGUAAGGACCAGAGACCGGAACUGAGAGAGGGCGGUGGAAUCCAUUCGACUCAACCUGUAUCUCGUUGUGUAUGGGCAUUGGCGGAUCCACAGUGGGGUCGUCGGGGUCGCACGACCUCUUGGAAACCAUGGAAACAACCUUGAAGCUCCCAUAUGCGACCUCUUGGAGCUGGGGUCGUCGGGGUCGGAGGCACGCCAACUGUUCGACAAAAGCCCUGAACGAAAACUGGGCAGGAAGAGGAAGAAGAAGCAGCCCAGUCAAAUGAGCUUGGUUGUGUGCUUGGUUGCAUGCCUGUUUUUGUCAAGUGAAUGAUAUUUAUACACAUUGGCGGAUCCACAGUGGGGUCGUCGGGGUCGCACGACCUCUUGGAAACCAUGGAAACAACCUUGAAGCUCCCAUAUGCGACCUCUUGGAGCUGGGGUCGUCGGGGUCGGAGGCACGCCAACUGUUCGACAAAAGCCCUGAACGAAAACUGGGCAGGAAGAGGAAGAAGAAGCAGCCCAGUCAAAUGAGCUUGGUUGUGUGCUUGGUUGCAUGCCUGUUUUUGUCAAGUGAAUGAUAUUUAUACAUGCUACUUUUUAUAACUCUAUCCAGUUUAAUUGGUCUUUCUGAUAAAGAAAUGAUAGGGGUUGGAGGAGUGCUA